CCAGUUAGACCUUCAUCUCCUCAGAUGCUACCUAGUGACAGGUACAUUUCUGAAUUGUAGUCUAGCGUACGACUACUCCCCUUCAUAAGCAGAUUCAGCCUAAUGGACGGCUCAUUCUGCUGCUCAGAUGCUACCUAGUGACAGGUACAUUUCUGAAUUGUAGUCUAGUGUACGACUACUCCCCUUCAUAAGCAGAUUCAGCCUAAUGGACGGCUCAUUCUGCUGCUCAGAUGCUACCUAGUGACAGGUACAUUUCUGAAUUGUAGUCUAGCGUACGACUACCUCCCUUCAUAAGCAGAUGCAGCCUAAUGGACGGCUCAUUCUGCUCAGAUACGGUCUAAUGUACGAUCCAGUUAGACCUUCAUCUCCUCAGAUGCUACCUAGUGUACGGUACAUUUCUGAAGUGUAGUCUAGCAUAUGACUACCCCCUUUUAUCAUCAGAUUCAGCCUAAAUACGGUCUAAUGUACGAUCCAGUUAGACCUUCAUCUCCUCAGAUGCUACCUAGUGUACGGUACAUUUCUGAAGUGUAGUCUAGCAUAUGACUACCCCCUUUUAUCAUCAGAUUCAGCCUAAUGGACGACUCAUUCUGCUCAGAUACGGUUUAAUGUACGAUCCAGUUAGACCUUCAGCUCCUCAGAUGCUACCUAGUGUACGGUACAUUUCUGAAGUGUAGUCUAGCGUACGACUACCCCCUUUUAUCAUCAGAUUCAGCCUAAUGGACGGCUCAUUCUGCUCAGAUACGGUUUAAUGUACGAUCCAGUUAGACCUUCAGCUCCUCAGAUGCUACCUAGUGUACGGUACAUUUCUGAAGUGUAGUCUAGUGUACGACUACCCCCUUUUAUCAUCAGAUUCAGCCUAAUGGAUGGCUCAUUCUGCUCAGAUACGGUUUAAUGUACGAUCCAGUUAGACCUUCAGCUCCUCAGAUGCUACCUAGUGUACGGUACAUUUCUGAAGUGUAGUCUAGCAUAUGACUACCCCCUUUUAUCAUCAGAUUCAGCCUAAUGGACGGCUCAUUCUGCUCAGAUACGGUUUAAUGUACGAUCCAGUUAGACCUUCAGCUCCUCAGAUGCUACCUAGUGUACGGUACAUUUCUGAAGUGUAGUCUAGC
rnacentral:lncRNA from 1 species